rnacentral:misc_RNA from 1 species
GAUGAAGAACGCAGCGAAAUGCGAUAAGUAAUGUGAAUUGCAGAAUUCAGUGAAUCAUCGAAUCUUUGAACGCACAUUGCGCCCGCCAGUAUUCUGGCGGGCAUGCCUGUUCGAGCGUCAUUUCAACCAUCAAGCCCUGCUUGCGUUGGGGUCCUGCGGCUGCCCGCAGGCCCUGAAAACCAGUGGCGGGCUCGCUAGUCACACCGAGCGCAGUAAUACAUCUCGCUUUGGGCGUGCGGCGGGUUCUUGCCGUUAAACACCCCCUUUUUACCAAGGUUGACCUCGGAUCAGGUAGGAAUACCCGCUGAACUUAAGCAUAUCAAUAAGCGGGGA